UGUCAUUUUGCUUAAUAUUUAUCUGUAAAUAUACAAAACACUGAAAAUUAUUUACCAUUUUUCAAUCUUCAAUAUAUAUAAUUUUUAAAAUGCCAAAUAAAUAAGUAGGCCUAUAAUCUUAAAGAAGUGUGACUGAAAUUGUGUGCUCAGGACAUAUGUAGCAGUUUUCACUGGCUUAUGAAUGUGUAUCACCAGUUCCACACACAUUGUCAGCUUAUAGCAUCUGCUUUUAUGAUUAACACUGACUUUUCAUUUUUUUCUAUUUGUGCUAAGUGUGUUUGUUGACAAUCACCUCCAUGAAAUUGCAUGUGCUCUGAUAAAUAAAAUUGAAAAAUGGAACUGAACUGCACUCGAAUGGAGCCAAGUGUGGCUUCCGGGGGGAAAACUGACCUUCAAAAGCGCCUGUAGGUCAAAAAGUAACGUGCAGACUAACAGCAAAAAGACCUGAGCUGUGUUGUUUUAUUUUCUGUAAAGUUAGCAGCUUUCAUUUCACAACACGCUGAUUUAAGGGGCUAUUGAGCCUUAGAGAUACUGCAAAAACACUGAGCAAGUACUUCCACAUGGUGUUCAGAGAUACAGCCUCAGUUAUUGAUCAAAGAACGCCGAUUGAUCCACGAAAAAUAGAAAUACAGCUUCUGUGAGUUCAGAAAACCUACGUUUAACUUUAAGAUACCUACACUGCUGUUUGUGGUAAUGGCUUAUUGAAUGGCGUAUUGAUCAGUGGUGGUUAUCUGACUGAAGGGCAGCACUGUGCACAGUUGUGUAAACUUCAUAACCAUAAUCCUCCUGCUCUCUCAGUGCUCGACAUAUUUCCUCAGGUGAGAAAUAUCGAGUGACCCGCAGAGAUUUUUGUCCUGCAAAUAUCUCUGGUGCCAGUAGAUAAGAGGGUGGCUGCACAGCAACGUCUGUAAAACAAGACAGUAAAAAUGUCUGCAGGUGGUAUUGCACCGGGGAAAAGAAAUACUAGCUUUGUCCGACGUUCAGCUCGGGCAAAAGCUGUGGCCUCGAGGUGUUUUUCGUCGCUAAGUGCACAAGUGUUAUAUUUAAAUCAACAUUUAGCUCCAACCAGAACAUCAAAGCGCGAGAGUGGGCAAUUUCAAGUUGUUUCUCAAUCUGGUGUUGCAAAUUGGAGCCACUAUCGAGCCACUUGCUCCGUCGACGUCCCUCAAAAAUCAAAUUUACAUGGAACCCCAGCUUCCAGUGCUUGAAAUUGCUUUCUGCAGCAUGCCUAAUCACUGAAAAAGGGGAUGAUCCGACUGAGUGUAUGCGAUUCGUGUGGGAGAAGGAAAUUUGGAUCAACUUUACACUGGAGCUGUGUUGGUUAAUCUACUAAACAUCAAAGGGGAGAAAGGGGAAGGGGAGGAAGGGCAAGUGGGAAAAUUUAUCGCGUGGGCUUGAUUGGAAAUCGAGGGAGACUGUGGUCCCCCUGUAAUCAUCUGUAAUCUCCUGUAGGUUGUAUGUGGCCUUAGAGGAGCUGAGAAGGAGCCCAUUACCCAUCUCCUGCCGAUGGGAGGCCCUGAUAGCACAGUGUUGGAGGACAACCGGAAAUGAAGAAGCAGAGACCUGGGAAAUUUUAUAUUUUCACCCUAAAAAAAGAACAUCUUACCUGAGAAGCCAUUUAAUUCUUUAACAGCCAUGAAAUCAGAUCCCUGGUUCACAUCCCAGCCUUCUAAGGAUCUUUCUGCAUGGAGUUUGCAUGUUCUUCCUGUGCAUGCGUGGAUUUUCUCCAGCCCUGUGAUAGACUGGUGACCUGUCCAGAUGUCUCCCCUGCCUUUACCCUCAGUCAGUCAGAUAGGCUCCAACCCCCUGCAACCCUAAUGAGGAUUAAGCGGCGUAUAGAUGAUGGAUGGAUGGAUGUGUUUUCAGACCUGCCAUGAAAUUCGCACUCAAGACAAAUGUCAGCAGAUUAUCAGGACGUGAUGAAAUCCACUCACCAUCUACAUGCAGCGUCUAUUAAUAGACACCAAACACCUACACAGAGGAGAACAGUCCUCAGAGCUUCGACUACAGACCUUACAGCUGGAUCCAGCCAAUGCCAGCAAUUACCCAGCAGUCCCUUCCCGCUGCCAGCACGUCUCAUCUUCACCAAUUAGCGUAGAGGGUGAUAUUCUACAUGCUGCUUUGAUCAAACACUGCCAGGCUGCAGAGGCAGCAAAAUACAGCUGAGAAGCCCCUAAUGAAAGAAAAUGAGACGUUAUUAAUGCUUGAUAAUGUUAAUCAGCAAAUCAGCGAGCGCUGUCUCAGUCAGCGGUGCCACUGGAGUCCCACAGGGCCACCUCAGCUGGAGGUAAGAAAACAUUUGAGAAGCUUUAAUGACUGCCAACGCUCGUGUUUAUCCGUCCCGCAUAUGAACGCUGGUGCAGCAGCAGGAAAAAUAGACGGACACAAUCACCCUCCAAGUCUGACACGCUGUAUUAAAGCACCUAUUUAUUUAGGGUUCUGUGGGCUUUUUAUUUUGACAGAAAGUCCAAUCAAAGAACCCAGAAUACACAACUGUAGCUGGGAAAGCCAAUUACGCUGCCCAGUGUGCAACUCAUGGCAUUGAUGUUACCAUUCCACUUUUUGUUGACGUGACAAUCAGGCAUGUGGGUGAGGCGGCUGCUGUCAAUACUCAUCCCACUUACAUGUGAAAUCCAAUUUUUGUGGCUCCUUCUUCGCUGGCGGAGCUACAAUAGCAACCCAGUUUGUCAGCGGCUUCAUCUAUAGCAGUGUGGGGUCACUCAAUAAAGAAGAUCAAACAAGA